rnacentral:hammerhead_ribozyme from 1 species
AUCCAGCUGAAGAGCCCCAAAUAGGACGAAACGCGUGUCCUGGAU